GUUCACCUGACGAGUGCCUAAUAGGAUGAAAUGCGCGUCCUGGAU
rfam:Schistosoma margrebowiei strain Zambia genome assembly, scaffold: SMRZ_scaffold0000309